UUACAUUUUCUCUCUCUCACAAAACCCUCUCGCCGCAAUGGAAACCAAGAAGUUUCAGCUUCGUUUCUCGCUAGCCGGCAACGCGACGUGUCGGAGGCGCUGGAUCCGACAGUUCGGUUGAUGUAUCUGACCAACUAAGGAGACUUAGACGAGAUUGAGGAACUGUUGGACGCGGGAGCAACGUCAAUUUCACCAACAUUGACCGCCGCACCGCACUCCAUAUCGCUGCUUGCUAGGAAUGCACUGACGUUGUUAACUUGCUGCUACAAUGAAGCGCUAAAGUUGAUCCGCCAGACCGCUGGGGCAGCAUCCUCUCGCUGAUCCAAUGUACUAUAAAAACCAAGACGUCGUGAAGCUUUUGGAUAAAAACAGUACAAAACCUUUGGUUAGUCUCUUGUUUUUCUUUUCUUCUUUAUAUUAGAUGUAAAAUUGUUUGGUAUUCGUCUCAAGAGUUUAGUUAACAGGUGCUUUUACAUGCAAUAUUAUUUUCGGAUAGACUUUUAGGAAUUUUAUUAUAAAAGUGAAACACAAUUAACAUGCAUAGCCGAUUGGUGAUUGGAUAACAAUGUAAAAGUUUAAACUGCUCAGCAUGGAUUUGGACACUUCAAUGUUACAUUUAUGUGAAAUCCAAAUCUUUAAUUAAAAAAGCAAGAAUUCACAAAUCUUUAAUUAAAAAAACAAGAACAUAGUUAGAGAAUUUAAAUAGUAAAAUGUGGAUAUUUGAAUACAUUUCAUUCGUUGAGAAUUUAAAUAGUAAAAUGUGGAUAUUUGAAUACAUUUCAUUCGUUCCUUGUUGGUUGCUUGUUUAUUAUUUCCCAAUUUCUUUUCAAUCCUAAAAGUGUGUCCUACUUUUGUAUAUAAUUUUGUAUAUUUUCUAUUUAAGCCUUAUAUGUUUUCUUGCAGCUAUUAUUGCUGCAUUCAUGGUUAAUCUAUUACCCAAACAGAAAAUUUGCUUAUUUAUAUUAUUUAUUGUUUCCAUUUUGUGAUUCAACUUUUACAGUUUGACAGCCUGUGAUGAAAUGUUUGCCUUUUUUUUCUCCUCUCCCCCACAAGCAUAUACUAGUUUCCAUUAUCUUCUUUCCCUCCAACUAUACUCCCUUGAAGUGUUGUUUUCAUGCUUAAAGUUCAGGUGAACAACCCUUUUAGAUGCAUUUGUGUUUUUGUUUUUGUUGAUAAUGAGCCAAAGAAGCAAGAAUUGUGGAGGCAUGAAGCAGAGGAUGUUUUUGUUUAUGGGGUUGGUGAUAUUGAAAUGGGUUGGUGGUAUUCACUCUUCACAUAAGCUUGCUUACUUUGACAUUAAUCUAGUAGAUUAAAUUAAUGGAAAAAAUCAUUUUAGUCUCCUUUCAUGGAAUGGAAACUUUUCUUCAUUUUUAAUGUGAUUCACAAUUUGAAAACUAGAAAUAAUUAAAUAGUUACGAACAUAAGUUUUAACGAUAAUUAUUUAUUGAUUUUGUUGUUUAGUUAUUGACACACUCCUUAAGUGAAAGUAGAUACUGACCAUCCCGAUGAUCAAUGAGAAAAAGAAAUAUAUGAUCAAUUCUCCUUAGUUGACAUCAUUGCAUGUUAUAGUAAUUAUAUGCGAUCCUAUUUGUUUGAGAGCAAAAUGGAAAGGUCUUACGGUGUUAAUUAACAUGUUAUCAUAAAGAAAAUCUAACUUAACAAACCUGACAAAUGUUCUUGGAGGUUUUUUUUUGAAAUAUAUUCGUAAAUAAGUGCUUUAGCAUCACCUUCAUCACAAUACCCGACAAGAGAAACCACAUUUAUAUGAUGAACAAGUGUUGCAAACUUUGCCUGCAUUUUAGAAAUGUUUAAUAUCUUAACUUAAUGAAAAAUAUAUUUGUUAUGCAAAUUCAAGAAAAGAAGAAAAAAAAUAGGACUAUUUAAUCAAUUGUUUCAUCUAACCUCUGAUUUAAACUCUUUAUAACCUUGAUUUGAUGACAGAGAGAGUUUCUUUACAGCAACUCGUUCACCACUUUGCAAAGUGCCAAGGUAAACUUCACCAAAUCCACCUUUUCCAAUGAUUGUUUUGAAACCAUCUAACAUCUGACUUAAACUCCUUAUACUUUUUUAUUUUUUGUGCAUUGUUUUAUGAUACGAUAUAUUAGGCAUUGUUUAUGGCAUGAUGAAAUUUUUGUUCUGAUCAUGGUUGUCCAAUAUGUGGUGGAACAUGGGUUCAUGCUAUAUAGUUAGUUGGCUUCAUGUCAAAAUUCAUGAGCUUCUCAUUUAGUCAAGGAAAAAGGAGAUGUUUGGAGUGAUGAACUCAACAACUAGUGACCAAGCAACCAAG